rnacentral:rRNA from 1 species
GAUGAACGCUGGCGGCGUGCCUAAUACAUGCCAGUCGAGCGAACAGACGAGGAGCUUGCUCCUCUGACGUUAGCGGCGGACGGGUGAGUAACACGUGGAUAACCUACCUAUAAGACUGGGAUAACUUCGGGAAACCGGAGCUAAUACCGGAUAAUAUAUUGAACCGCAUGGUUCAAUAGUGAAAGACGGUUUUGCUGUCACCUAUAGAUGGAUCCGCGCCGCAUUAGCUAGUUGGUAAGGUAACGGCUUACCAAGGCAACGAUGCGUAGCCGACCUGAGAGGGUGAUCGGCCACACUGGAACUGAGACACGGUCCAGACUCCUACGGGAGGCAGCAGUAGGGAAUCUUCCGCAAUGGGUGAAAGCCUGACGGAGCAACGCCGCGUGAGUGAUGAAGGUCUUCGGAUCGUAAAACUCUGUUAUUAGGGAAGAACAAAUGUGUAAGUAACUAUGCACGUCUUGACGGUACCUAAUCAGAAAGCCACGGCUAACUACGUG